CCUACGGGGGGCAGCAGUGGGGAAUAUUGGUCAAUGGGCGAAAGCCUGAUCCAGCCAUGCCGCGUGUGUGAAGAAGGCCUUCGGGUUGUAAAGCACUUUCAGUGGGGAAGAAAGCCUUGGGGCUAAUACCCUCGAGGAAGGACAUCACCCACAGAAGAAGCACCGGCUAACUCCGUGCCAGCAGCCGCGGUAAUACGGAGGGUGCGAGCGUUAAUCGGAAUUACUGGGCGUAAAGCGCGCGUAGGCGGUCUGAUAAGCCGGUUGUGAAAGCCCCGGGCUCAACCUGGGAACGGCAUCCGGAACUGUCAGGCUAGAGUGCAGGAGAGGAAGGUAGAAUUCCCGGUGUAGCGGUGAAAUGCGUAGAGAUCGGGAGGAAUACCAGUGGCGAAGGCGGCCUUCUGGACUGACACUGACGCUGAGGUGCGAAAGCGUGGGUAGCAAACAGGAUUAGAUACCCUGGUAGUC
rnacentral:rRNA from 1 species